GUGCUCGCUUCAGCAACACGAAUAUCAAAAUUGGAAUGAUACACAGAAGAUUAGCAUGGCC
ensembl:snRNA U6 U6 spliceosomal RNA